GAAGAACUGCAGCAACAUUCUCCCAGGAAUGGCUGAGGAAAAGAUGAAAACAACACCUCUGCUGUCCCAGUCUACUGGAAUCUGUCACCACAGAGAGAGCUGUGCAUAAAUAACUGCACAGAACAAGACUAAGUAAAAGAGACAACAGGGAAAACUUAAGAAGAGCAGCUAAUGAGGCUCAGAACCUGAAUGCAGAAUGGCUUUUAGAUGACAUAUUUAAUAAAACCAGACCAUCCUAAAGGUCUCUAGCAAGUUCCAGGGAACAGAGCUGAAGCACUCUGCAACUUGGAUAAUGACCUGAAGAAACCUUUCUGUUUUCAAAGCAUCCUGAAUGUACUUCACGUGGGGGUGAGCUUGUACUUCCAAACUGAUCUCUUUGGUAAGAUUAAUCAUUCCAGAAAGGCA